rnacentral:rRNA from 1 species
AGGAUGAACGCUGGCGGCGUGCCUAAUACAUGCAAGUCGAGCGAACGGACGAGAAGCUUGCUUCUCUGAUGUUAGCGGCGGACGGGUGAGUAACACGUGGAUAACCUACCUAUAAGACUGGGAUAACUUCGGGAAACCGGAGCUAAUACCGGAUAAUAUUUUGAACCGCAUGGUUCAAAAGUGAAAGACGGUCUUGCUGUCACUUAUAGAUGGAUCCGCGCUGCAUUAGCUAGUUGGUAAGGUAACGGCUUACCAAGGCAACGAUGCAUAGCCGACCUGAGAGGGUGAUCGGCCACACUGGAACUGAGACACGGUCCAGACUCCUACGGGAGGCAGCAGUAGGGAAUCUUCCGCAAUGGGCGAAAGCCUGACGGAGCAACGCCGCGUGAGUGAUGAAGGUCUUCGGAUCGUAAAACUCUGUUAUUAGGGAAGAACAUAUGUGUAAGUAACUGUGCACAUCUUGACGGUACCUAAUCAGAAAGCCACGGCUAACUACGUGCCAGCAGCCGCGGUAAUACGUAGGUGGCAAGCGUUAUCCGGAAUUAUUGGGCGUAAAGCGCGCGUAGGCGGUUUUUUAAGUCUGAUGUGAAAGCCCACGGCUCAACCGUGGAGGGUCAUUGGAAACUGGAAAACUUGAGUGCAGAAGAGGAAAGUGGAAUUCCAUGUGUAGCGGUGAAAUGCGCAGAGAUAUGGAGGAACACCAGUGGCGAAGGCGACUUUCUGGUCUGUAACUGACGCUGAUGUGCGAAAGCGUGGGGAUCAAACAGGAUUAGAUACCCUGGUAGUCCACGCCGUAAACGAUGAGUGCUAAGUGUUAGGGGGUUUCCGCCCCUUAGUGCUGCAGCUAACGCAUUAAGCACUCCGCCUGGGGAGUACGACCGCAAGGUUGAAACUCAAAGGAAUUGACGGGGACCCGCACAAGCGGUGGAGCAUGUGGUUUAAUUCGAAGCAACGCGAAGAACCUUACCAAAUCUUGACAUCCUUUGACAACUCUAGAGAUAGAGCCUUCCCCUUCGGGGGACAAAGUGACAGGUGGUGCAUGGUUGUCGUCAGCUCGUGUCGUGAGAUGUUGGGUUAAGUCCCGCAACGAGCGCAACCCUUAAGCUUAGUUGCCAUCAUUAAGUUGGGCACUCUAAGUUGACUGCCGGUGACAAACCGGAGGAAGGUGGGGAUGACGUCAAAUCAUCAUGCCCCUUAUGAUUUGGGCUACACACGUGCUACAAUGGACAAUACAAAGGGCAGCGAAACCGCGAGGUCAAGCAAAUCCCAUAAAGUUGUUCUCAGUUCGGAUUGUAGUCUGCAACUCGACUACAUGAAGCUGGAAUCGCUAGUAAUCGUAGAUCAGCAUGCUACGGUGAAUACGUUCCCGGGUCUUGUACACACCGCCCGUCACACCACGAGAGUUUGUAACACCCGAAGCCGGUGGAGUAACCUUUUAGGAGCUAGCCGU